AGUAGGAUGUCAUUAAUGACAUGCAGAUGAGAAAGAGGCAGCCCAGUCAGAACAGCUGCUCAAACUGAGGGAGGGGUGUGGUCAGGAAUAGUGACAUCCCAGGUACAUUCCACCUGUUCAGAAGAAUACCCUCCUCACUGCAGACUCCUGAGGGGGAAAUGUCCUCUUCCAGAUCUGACUCUACAAUGCAUUCUAAGUUCUUCUUCUCUAUGAUGUUUUAUCUCUUAAUGGCAGGUGGUCAACUGGAUGACAGGGUCAUUCAACAUCCAAGUUACCUGGUGUCAAGGGCAGGACAGUCAGUGAUGUUGGGAUGUGACCCCAUCUUGGGACACAAAGGGGCAUUUUGGUACCGCCAGAUACUAGGAAAAGGCCCUGAGAUGCUCUUUUACUUCUCUAAUAAGGAAGAGAGGGGUAAAGGAGAAAUCCCUAAUCGAUUCAAUGCUACACAGGACGACAAUUUCCACCUCACCCUCAACAUCAGUUCCUUGGAGCAGGGGGAUUCUGCUCUCUAUCUCUGUGACAGCAGCAAAGACACAGUGCCACAGAGGCACCUCCCAUCUGUUCACAAAGCUGUUUGGCCCAAGCCCAGGGAGCAAUGA